rfam:Patagioenas fasciata monilis isolate BTP2013 Sc31e1R_493, whole genome shotgun sequence.
AGAGCUGGAAGGGAGGCAAGAUGUUGGCAUAGCUGUAGACCUAAAAACCUGCUAUGCCAACAUAUUGUCAUCUUUCCUC